UACGUAGGGGGCAAGCGUUGUCCGGAAUCAUUGGGCGUAAAGCGCGCGUAGGCGGCCCGAUAAGUCCGCUGUAAAAGUCAACGGCUCAACCGUUGAAAGCCGGUGGAUACUGUCGGGCUAGAGUCCGGAAGAGGCAAGUGGAGUUCCUGGUGUAGCGGUGGAAUGCGCAGAUAUCAGGAGGAACACCUAUAGCGAAGGCAGCUUGCUGGGACGGUACUGACGCUAAGGCGCGAAAGCGUGGGGAGCGAACAGG
rnacentral:rRNA from 1 species